UAAGGAAUAUUGGACAAUGGCGGCAACGCUGAUCCAGCCAUGCCGCGUGAAGGAUGAAGGCCCUAUGGGUUGUAAACUUCUUUUAUAUGAUAAAAAACCAUCGAACGUGUUCGGUGCUGAUUGUCGUAAGAAUAAGGGUCGGCUAACUCCGUGCCAGCAGCCGCGGUAAUACGGAGGACCCGAGCGUUAUCCGGAUUCAUUGGGUUUAAAGGGUGCGUAGGCGGGAUAGUAAGUCAGUGGUGAAAGCCUGCAGCUUAACUGCAGAACUGCCAUUGAUACUGCUAACCUUGAGUACAGCUGAUGAGGGCGGAAUAUGACAUGUAGCGGUGAAAUGCUUAGAUAUGUCAUAGAACACCGAUUGCGAAGGCAGCUCUCAAAACUGUUACUGACGCUGAGGCACGAAAGCGUGGGGAUCGAACAGGAUUAGAUACCCCGGUAGUCC
rnacentral:rRNA from 1 species